CGCACGGGUGCGUAACGCGUGGGAAUCUGCCCUUGGGUUCGGGAUAACAGUGAGAAAUUACUGCUAAUACCGGAUGAUGACUUCGGUCCAAAGAUUUAUCGCCCAGGGAUGAGCCCGCGUAGGAUUAGCUAGUUGGUGGGGUAAAGGCCUACCAAGGCGACUAUCCUUAGCUGGUCUGAGAGGAUGAUCAGCCACACUGGGACUGAAACACGGCCCAGACUCCUACGGGAGGCAGCAGUGGGGAAUAUUGGACAAUGGGCGAAAGCCUGAUCCAGCAAUGCCGCGUGAGUGAUGAAGGCCUUAGGGUUGUAAAGCUCUUUUACCCGGGAAGAUAAUGACUGUACCGGGAGAAUAAGCUCCGGAUAACUCCGUGCCAGCAGCCGCGGUAAUACGGAGGGAGCUAGCGUUGUUCGGAAUUACUGGGCGUAAAGCGCACGUAGGCGGCUUUGUAAGUUAGAGGUGAAAGCCUGGAGCUCAACUCCAGAACUGCCUUUAAGACUGCAUCGCUCGAAUCCAGGAGAGGUGAGUGGAAUUCCGAGUGUAGAGGUGAAAUUCGUAGAUAUUCGGAAGAACACCAGUGGCGAAGGCGGCUCACUGGACUGGUAUUGACGCUGAUGUGCGAAAGCGUGGGGAGCAAACAGGAUUAGAUACCCUGGUAGUCCACGCCGUAAACGAUGAUAACUAGCUGUCCGGGCACUUGGUGCUUGGGU
rnacentral:rRNA from 1 species